CCGAAACCCGGUGAUCUAGCCAUGGGCAGGUUGAAGGUUGGGUAACACUAACUGGAGGACCGAACCGACUAAUGUUGAAAAAUUAGCGGAUGACCUGUGGCUGGGGGUGAAAGGCCAAUCAAACCGGGAGAUAGCUGGUUCUCCCCGAAAGCUAUUUAGGUAGCGCCUCGUGAAUUCAUCUCCGGGGGUAGAGCACUGUUUCGGCUAGGGGGCCAUCCCGGCUUACCAACCCGAUGCAAACUGCGAAUACCGGAGAAUGUUAUCACGGGAGACACACGGCGGGUGCUAACGUCCGUCGUGAAGAGGGAAACAACCCAGACCGCCAGCUAAGGUCCCAAAGUCAUGGUUAAGUGGGAAACGAUGUGGGAAGGCCCAGACAGCCAGGAUGUUGGCUUAGAAGCAGCCAUCAUUUAAAGAAAGCGUAAUAGCUCACUGGUCGAGUCGGCCUGCGCGGAAGAUGUAACGGGGCUAAACCAUGCACCGAAGCUGCGGCAGCGACACUGUGUGUUGUUGGGUAGGGGAGC
rnacentral:rRNA from 1 species